AUAUUAUAAAAUGAUUUAGUCACUGAUGUACAUUAUACACUUAAUGUUAUAAGUAGGAACUACUGGGUAAUUUCGGAAUCUCUCUCAUUUCUCUUAGAAAAGAUUCUAUGCAACAUUAGUUCAAAUUAUAGUCAGACUCUCCCCUGGUCAGGGGUUGGGUCUCAGUAUCGUUGGUGGGCGUGGCUCUCCCACUGGGGACGUACCCAUUUAUGUAAAGAGGAUCCUACCUGAGUCAGUGUUACAGAAAGACUCAAAGAUAAAGACUGGAGAUGAACUGGUAGCAGUUAAUGAUUUAAUAAUACAUAAUGUAACUAAGGACUAUGCUACUGAAGCUCUUACUAAUGUACAGGGAACAGUGAGACUACUACUGAUACAGGACCUAUGAA